GUUCAAGAGUGCACUUUAUUGUGGCUCUAACCUUUUUCAAUAUACCUUUCACCCUUUUUUAAACCCAAAGCUGUUAUGUGUGCCUCUUUUGUGAGGUAUAGCAUCUCAGUAGUACGCAUCAUGUGAAUUUUUAUAAUUCACAAGUUGCAUUACCCCCCCUUUUUUAAAUUUAACACUAUAAAAAGUUUUUAGAAUGUAAACCCCCUUAAAAUUAAUAUAACUUUUAACAAUGGAUCUCUUGGCUCUCACAUCGAUGAAGAACACAGUCCCMCUGUUUGAGUGUCAUGAAACCCUCUCAUUCCAAUUUUUUUAUUAAGUUAAGAAGUUGAAAUGGAUGUUGGGUGUUGCCGUCAUUGGCUCACCUUAAAUAUAUAAGUACUUUUAUUGAAAAAUAAAUGGAUAUACUUGGUGUAAUAUUUACUAUUCAUUGAGGAGUGUGGUGCCUUAAAAACACUACAGCCAUUUGAACUUUGAUAAAUAGCUUCUAAACCCCAACAUAUUUAUAUAUCUUUUAGACCUCAAAUCAGGUGGGACUACCCGCUGAACUUAAGCAUAUCAAUAAGCGGAGGAAAAGAAACUAACAAGGAUUCCCCUAGUAACGGCGAGUGAAGAGGGAAAAGCC
rnacentral:rRNA from 1 species